AGGAGAAUUACGGCGGAAGAAAGCAAAGAAAGCCCAGAGCCUGGAGUAGGCAGGCCCGGGCCUCUGGUGAGCCCAGGCCUUGCUGCUCGGUGCCGAUUGUGCCCGGGGCUUGUUCCUCACCGUUUGGUUUCAAAUGAGAGGGGAGCAAGAGGCAGAACAGCCCGCUGCUGCUGCUGCUGCUGCUGCUGGGGCUGAACUGUCUGCAGUGCCCGGGGGCUGGGCAGGACUUGGCCCCGAUGCCUGCAUUGCUCUGCAGCAGCCAGGGAGGGGUCCCAAAAGUCAUCCCCCCGCCUGCUGUGCUGCACAGCAGGGGCUGGCUGGGCCGGUUCCCGGCCGGGGGAGCCCGGGGGAGGCCGUGCUGGGGCUGAGGGGCUGCUGCUCUCUGGGCCUCUCGGGCUUUGCCUUGGAAUCACAAAGGUGACUAAAUUGUUUUGUUGUGGAGUGUUUUGGGGCCGAGUUAAUGCUCUUGGCUUGUUGUGUGUCAAUUCCCAGCCAUGGUCAGGGCUUCGCGGGGAGCGUUGCUGCUGCUGCCGCCGCUGCCGCCGCCGCCGGGAGAGAGAAGUCCUUUGGGAAGCUGGGAUGGAAACAGCAACUCUGUGAAUUGCCCAGCUUUUCCUAGGGAAGGGCAGGUUUUAGGGAAGAAAGGCCCGUCCUCGCGAAAGGCGCCGCGGGUCUCGCAAGGGGGGGGCCGCGCGGCUGCAGUGCCGUUCCCGGCCGUGUCCGCCAGGCGGCGACUGCGAGGCGGCGCCCGGCGGUCGGGGCGGGCUGGGAAGCGGCGCCUGCGCAGAGCGAGGCGUUGGCCGGGCCGGGCCUGGAGCGCUCGGGGCCGCCGGGCAGGGCAGGGGCGGGGACCGGCCGGGGCGGGGGUAAGAGCAGGUUUUAGGGAAGAAACGCCUGUAGCGAGUAAUCAGAAGAGAAGGGUGAAAGCCAAGAGCCUUUGACUUCCCCAGUGCACUUAAUUUUCUUGUUCUCCUCUCUUUAAGGACAGGGAAAAUCAUUGACUUGGGUCCAGCAAUGCCAAAUGUGUUGGGGUGUGAGCAGCCAAAGCAACAGGCUCCAGCCCCACCGACCGGCGCUGGGGGCACCUGGUGCUGCCUGUGGGGUGGGGAAGUGGGCUGGGACAAGGGAAUUGGCUCCCACGAGGCCGAGGAUCAGAGCAGGCUCUGCACAGGGGACGACUUCCACUUCCGAACGGGGAAGGGCACCUUCGUCCCCACCCCCGGCACGGGGACGGAGUAACAUCUGCCUGCAGCUGGCUGGAGUUCCCGUUGGCUCUGGGCUUUCUGCCCACGGGCUGGGGAUCAUGGUCAGAGUCCUUCAAACCUGGGGAACAGUGGCCUUCACAGCAUCCCUGCAGCCCGUCCAGGGCAGGCUGCUGCCCAUCGGCCCCUGAUCACAGGUGGACGUAGAAGUGAUGGUGUUUAGGGAAUGUUGAUUGUGUUUCCCCCCCUUUGGCAACGCGGUCAUUAAAAAGAGAAAAAUAACAA